UAUUUCAGUCACUCAGCUUGUGACAUCGGCACGUAGAAAAUGUCAAGGAAAUUUAUUAUUUUAAAACUAAGUUAAUUCUUAACUUUUCUUUCAAUGUUGUACAUGCAUCGCUAAUUGUAAGAUUUCUGUCGGAACUUUCCGAAGCGAAGCGAGGGCGGAUCGCUAGUAAUAAUAUAGAAAUAAGUAAAGCUGAGUAAACCCAGCCGCAAAAGCCGAACGCUUGAACAAGCUACAAGCGGGUCCAUCGCGCUUCCGGAACCGGCAUUGACAUUUAUCAGAACCUUGACAAGAUCGCGGAAGACGGCGUCCUCCCGGGGCUCGCGGAUAUCGAUUCUAAAAAUGUUCAGAUAGUGAUUCGAAAAGGUUUAUCCGUCAAUGUUGGAGUAUUAAAGGGCUCUCCCCGGGUUGCCAUGGGAACUCGAACGGUAUCGAUCCGUUUUCGGCAAAAAAUAAAUGCUUACGCGGCUGAAAGACGAGACGGCUUCGCAAACUAUAAGUGUAUAGGUACAGGAGGAGCUAAAGUAACCGAGGCAGCGCCGACGGCCACGCGAAUUACGGAAACAGGAUACCCGCGAACGAGGGCACAAUGUCUGAUGAAAACGUUCACGAAGAAUAAAUACAUCGCAUAGAAUCGAAUCAUAUGAAGAUACAAGAUCGUCUCUGAUAGACAUCACAGUGCCGCUACCAAUCAUGGAGCCGUAAGAUGUCUCAAAAGCUUUACAACACUUAGCCCUGUCCCCUCUGCACACGAUCUGUCUAUGGCUGAGUAGUGUUCCGUUCGUAAACACAACAUUUGUAAGUUUAAUUCUAUCAUGUUUUUCCUCUCUCCAGCCAAAUUAUGUUUGCAGAAUUUUGCUAUCGUAUGUUGUUGAUACACCUUGACUUUUAUUGUUGGCAUUUGUUUUUUACUUUGUUUCUUCUGCGAGCUUUCUCUUUCUCCUAAAAUUAUCAGUAAAGUAGGUAAUAAAUGUAAAAAAAAAAAAAUUAGGUUCAACAAAA